rnacentral:rRNA from 1 species
UACGUAGGGGGGCUAGCGUUGUCCGGAAUCAUUGGGCGUAAAGCGCGUGUAGGCGGUUCGGUAAGUCCGCUGUGAAAGUCGGGGGCUCAACCCUCGGAAGCCGGUGGAUACUGUCGGGCUCGAGUACGGAAGAGGCGAGUGGAAUUCCUGGUGUAGCGGUGAAAUGCGCAGAUAUCAGGAGGAACACCAAUUGCGAAGGCAGCUCGCUGGGACGUAACUGACGCUGAGACGCGAAAGCGUGGGGAGCAAACAGG